UACGUAGGGUGCAAGCGUUGUCCGGAAUUAUUGGGCGUAAAGAGCGUGUAGGCGGCCAGGUAGGUCUGCUGUGAAAACUCGAGGCUCAACCUCGAGACGUCGGCGGAAACCAUCUGGCUAGAGUCCGGAAGAGGAGAGUGGAAUUCCUGGUGUAGCGGUGGAAUGCGCAGAUAUCAGGAGGAACACCAAUAGCGAAGGCAGCUCGCUGGGACGGUACUGACGCUGAGGCGCGAAAGCGUGGGGAGCGAACAGG
rnacentral:rRNA from 1 species